ensembl:snRNA U6 U6 spliceosomal RNA
GUGAAUAUUUCCGCACCACAUACUCUAAAACUGCAAAUGACACAGAGGUUAGUAUGGCCUUUGUGCAAGGAUGAUACAAAAAUUUUGAAGCACUCAUUAUUUUG